CUCUGCGGUGCAGCGAUUAAACAGACAUUGGAAAUGCAGCUCCUUCAUUGAGGUUACACCGAUGCAUUGCCAAGAUGCUUAUACCGUGAGCUGAGCCAUCCUGUAUACCUUCCACCUGAAUUGUGGUAGACCCUCCCGGGCACGCCGUGUGGGUGCCAUGCAUCAGGAUAAAGGCCGGUGAACACACGAAACGCGCCAGAGACAGCUUCAUGUCAAACUCAAUGUGGAAUGAGAGAGACAGAGGGAGAGACGUCACCUCUGGCGUGGUCCUCACCAGUCCCAAGAUCACCGAGCAAGAUAAGGGAUUAUAUACAGAGGAAGACCACACUCCUGGCUCAGCUUUACAAGUCAGACAUGGAGAAAAGAGAGCUCCGGUGUACAGACAACCGGAAGCGGCAGAUACAAAUCACUAUAAAUGCCG